rnacentral:piRNA from 1 species
UGGUUAUCAGCAUCGUGCCUAGUUUU